rnacentral:tRNA from 1 species
GCCCCCGUAGCUCAGCGGACAGAGCGGUGGCCUUCUAAUCCACUGGUCGGAGGUUCGAAUCCUCCCGGGGGCA